CAACUUCUAACGGUGGAUCUCUUGGCUCGUGCAUCGAUGAAGAACGUAGCCAGUUGCGAUAAGUAGUGUGAAUUGCAGAAUUCAGUGAAUCAUCGAAUCUUUGAACGCAAAUUGCGCUCUCUGGAUAUCCAGGGAGCAUGCCUGUUUGAGUGUCGUCU
rnacentral:rRNA from 1 species